GCUGUGAUGGCCGAGUGGUUAAGGCGUUGGACUUGAAAUCCAAUGGGAUCUUCCCGCGCAGGUUCAAACCCUGCUCGCAGCG
rnacentral:tRNA from 1 species